UACAGAGGGGGCGAGCGUUGUUCGGAAUUACUGGGCGUAAAGCGCGUGUAGGCGGCUUGGCAAGUCGGGUGUGAAAGCCCUGGGCUCAACCUAGGAAGUGCACUCGAAACUGCCUCGCUGGAGUGCCGGAGAGGAAAGCGGAAUUCUCGGUGUAGAGGUGAAAUUCGUAGAUAUCGAGAGGAACACCGGUGGCGAAGGCGGGUCUCUGGGCCGAUACUGACGCUGAGGAGCGAAAGCGUGGGGAGCGAACAGG
rnacentral:rRNA from 1 species